AGCCUCAGCAAAGAACUGCUCAGUCCCACUUGACCUGACUUAGAGACUCCUGCCUCUUGAACUGAUUGCUCUGAGUUUCAACCAUGAAGGCUCUUCUCCUCCUUGUUGCCAUCUUCAUGUUUUCCAACCAGGCAGUCACAGUAACUGGCCAAAGCGACCCUGCUAACAUUGCUUGUUUCCAAAGUGGUGGCACCUGUAGACCAUCAUGUCCAUUUCCUGGUGUACAAUCAGGAGACUGUGCUGGUGGUUUCGUUUGCUGUACAUGGGCUCACCAACGUCCUGUAUAAAAUAUCAGGAAAACUCUGAAGAGUCUGAAGAGUUCUGCAGAAGAUACUGAAAUAAGGUGGCUGGAAGAUGUGCAGGCAAUUCUCCUGAGAUACAAACAUUUUGAUUAAAUAUAUAAUCUGGAAAAAGAUAAAUCUUUAACCUAUUGAUCUGUAUAUUAAAGUUCUAUAAUAGCAAU